rnacentral:rRNA from 1 species
UACAGAGGUCUCAAGCGUUGUUCGGAUUCAUUGGGCGUAAAGGGUGCGUAGGUGGCGCUGUAAGUCGGGUGUGAAAUUUCGGAGCUUAACUCCGAAACUGCAUUCGAUACUGCGGUGCUUGAGGACUGGAGAGGAGACUGGAAUUUACGGUGUAGCGGUGAAAUGCGUAGAUAUCGGGAAGAACACCCGUGGCGAAGGCGGCUCUCUGGGACGGUACUGACGCUGAGACGCGAAAGCGUGGGGGAGCGAACAGG